rnacentral:rRNA from 1 species
GACGAACCGUGCGAACGUUAUUCGGAAUCACUGGGCUUAAAGCGCGUGUAGGCGGGACGGCACGUCUGUCGCUGAAAUCCCCCGGCUUAACCGGGGAACUGGCGUAGAUACGACCGUCCUGGAGGGGCGUAGGGGGACCUGGAACUUCCGGUGGAGCGGUGAAAUGCGUUGAGAUCGGAAGGAACGCCCGUGGCGAAAGCGGCUCACUGGGUCUUUUCUGACGCUGAUGCACGAAAGCUAGGGGAGCAAACGGG